GAUGAACGCUGGCGGCGUGCCUAAUACAUGCAAGUCGAGCGAACAGACGAGGAGCUUGCUCCUCUGACGUUAGCGGCGGACGGGUGAGUAACACGUGGAUAACCUACAUAUAAGACUGGGAUAACUUCGGGAAACCGGAGCUAAUACCGGAUAAUAUAUUGAACCGCAUGGUUCAAUAGUGAAAGACGGUUUUGCUGUCAAUUAAAGAUGGAUCCGCGCCGCAUUAGCUAGUUGGUAAGGUAACGGCUUACCAAGGCAACGAUGCGUAGCCGACCUGAGAGGGUGAUCGGCCACACUGUAACUGAGACACGGUCCAGACUCCUACGGGAGGCAGCAGUAGGGAAUCUUCCGCAAUGGGCGAAAGCCUGACGGAGCAACGCCGCGUGAGUGAUGAAGGUCUUCGGAUCGUAAAACUCUGUUAUUAGGGAAGAACAAAUGUGUAAGUAACUAUGCACGUCUUGACGGUACCUAAUCAGAAAGCCACGGCUAACUACGUG
rnacentral:rRNA from 1 species